UACGUAGGGGGCAAGCGUUGUCCGGAAUCAUUGGGCGUAAAGCGCGUGUAGGCGGCUGACUAAGUCCGCUCUGAAAGCCCGGGGCUCAACCCCGGGAGGCGGGUGGAUACUGGUCAGCUCGAGUCCGGAAGAGGAGUGUGGAAUUCCUGGUGUAGCGGUGAAAUGCGUAGAUAUCGGGAGGAACACCCGCGGUGUAGACGGCCUGCUGGACCACGACUGACGCUGAGGCACGAAAGCGUGGGGAGCAAACAGG
rnacentral:rRNA from 1 species